UCCCCUGGUUGCAAGCCUCGU
rnacentral:miRNA from 1 species